rnacentral:rRNA from 1 species
AUACGACCAUAGCUUGUAGAGAGCACGGGAUCCCGUCCGCUCUCCCCUAGUUAACCUACAAAGCGCCGGACUAGUACUACGGUGGGUGACCACGUGGGAAUCCCCAGUGUUGUAUG